AUUGAACGCUGGCGGCAGGCCUAACACAUGCAAGUCGAACGAGUGGCGGACGGGUGAGUAAUGUCUGGGCAACUGCCUGAUGGAGGGGGAUAACUACUGGAAACGGUAGCUAAUACCGCAUACCAUCAGAUGUGCCCAGAUGGGUUUAGCUUGUUGGUGGGGUAACGGCUCACCAAGGAGACGAUCCCUAGCUGGUCUGAGAGGAUGACCAGCCACACGGGAACUGAGACACGGUCCAGACUCCUACGGGAGGCAGCAGUGGGGAAUAUUGCACAAUGGGCGAAAGCUUGAUGCAGCACUGCCGGGGGUAGGAAGAGGGCCUUCGGGUUGUAAAGUACUUUCAGCGGGGAGGCGUUACCCGCAGAAGAAGCACCGGCUAACUCCGUGCCAGCAGCCGCGGUAAUAC
rnacentral:rRNA from 1 species